AAUGAAAUAACUUCUAGUGAAAAUAAAAAUCCAGGUGCUGCCUCCCGCUCACCUCCGACCCAGCACCUGCCGUCAUGGCUCCCGGCCAGCUCGCCUUGUUCAGUGUCUCUGACAAAACCGGCCUUGUGGAAUUUGCAAGAAACCUGAUCUCUCUCGGUUUGAAUCUGGUCGCUUCCGGAGGGACUGCAAAAGCUCUCAGGGAUGCUGGUCUGGCAGUCAGAGAUGUCUCUGAGUUGACAGGAUUUCCUGAAAUGUUGGGGGGACGUGUGAAAACUUUGCAUCCUGCAGUCCAUGCUGGAAUCCUGGCUCGCAAUAUUCCAGAAGAUAAUGCUGACAUGGCCAGACUUGAUUUCAAUCUUAUAAGAGUUGUUGCCUGCAAUCUCUAUCCCUUUGUGAAGACAGUGGCUUCUCCAGGUGUAACUGUUGAGGAAGCUGUGGAGCAAAUUGACAUUGGUGGAGUAACCUUACUGAGAGCUGCAGCCAAAAACCACGCUCGAAUGACAGUGGUGUGUGAACCUGAGGACUACGUGGCAGUGUCCACAGAGAUGCAGAGCUCCGAGAGCAAGGACACCUCCUUGGAGACUAGACGCCAGUUAGCCUUGAAGGCAUUCACUCAUACGGCACAAUACGAUGAAGCAAUUUCAGAUUAUUUCAGGAAACAGUACAGCAAAGACGUAUCUCAGAUGCCCUUGCGGUAUGGAAUGAACCCUCAUCAGACCCCUGCCCAGCUGUACACACUGAAGCCCAAGCUUCCCAUCACAGUUCUAAAUGGAGCCCCUGGAUUUAUAAACCUGUGCGAUGCUUUGAAUGCCUGGCAGCUGGUGAAGGAACUCAAAGAGGCGUUAGGUAUUCCAGCCGCUGCCUCUUUCAAACAUGUCAGCCCAGCAGGUGCCGCUGUUGGAAUUCCACUCAGUGAAGAUGAGGCCAGAGUCUGCAUGGUUUUUGAUCUCUAUAAAACCCUUACACCCAUUUCAACGGCAUACACAAGAGCAAGAGGGGCUGAUAGGAUGUAAUCAUUUGGCGAUUUUGUGGCAUUGUCUGACGUUUGUGAUGUACCAACUGCAAAAAUUAUUUCCAGAGAAGUCUCUGAUGGUAUAAUUGCCCCAGGAUAUGAAGAAGAAGCCUUGACAAUACUUUCCAAAAAGAAAAAUGGAAACUACUGUGUUCUUCAGAUGGACCAGUCUUACAAACCAGAUGAAAAUGAAGUUCGAACGCUCUUCGGUCUUCAUUUAAGCCAGAAGAGAAAUAACGGUGUCAUUGACAAGUCAUUAUUUAGCAAUGUUGUCACCAAGAAUAAAGAUCUGCCAGAGUCUGCCCUCCGAGACCUCAUCGUAGCCACCAUUGCUGUCAAGUACACUCAGUCCAACUCCGCGUGAAGAGAGCAGAAAUCUCCAAUGCCAUCGAUCAAUACGUGACUGGAACCAUUGGCGAGGAUGAAGAUUUGAUAAAGUGGAAGGCCCUGUUUGAGGAAGUCCCUGAAUUACUCACUGAGGCAGAGAAGAAGGAAUGGGUUGACAAACUGAGUGAAGUCUCUGUCAGCUCAGAUGCCUUCUUCCCUUUCAGAGAUAAUGUAGACAGAGCUAAAAGGAGCGGUGUGGCAUACAUUGCGGCUCCCUCCGGCUCUGCUGCUGACAAAGUUGUGAUUGAGGCCUGCGAUGAACUGGGAAUCAUCCUCGCUCAUACGAACCUUCGGCUCUUCCACCACUGAUUUUAUCACACCCUAUUUUAUGGUUUACUUAUAUGUAGGUGAAGAGUCGUGUGUGAAACUUUGAGAAUAACUUUUUAAAAAAAUAAAACAGUACAUCUUAAUCACUGGAUC